rnacentral:rRNA from 1 species
AACGAACGCUGGCGGCAUGCCUAACACAUGCAAGUCGAACGAGACCUUCGGGUCUAGUGGCGCACGGGUGCGUAACGCGUGGGAACCUGCCCUUAGGUUCGGAAUAACUCCCCGAAAGGGGUGCUAAUACCGGAUAAUGUCUUCGGACCAAAGAUUUAUCGCCUUUGGAUGGGCCCGCGUUGGAUUAGCUAGUUGGUAGGGUAAAAGCCUACCAAGGCGACGAUCCAUAGCUGGUCUGAGAGGAUGAUCAGCCACACUGGGACUGAGACACGGCCCAGACUCCUACGGGAGGCAGCAGGGGGGAAUAUUGGACAAUGGGCGAAAGCCUGAUCCAGCAAUGCCGCGUGAGUGAUGAAGGCCGUAGGGUUGUAAAGCUCUUUUACCCGGGAUGAUAAUGACAGUACCGGGAGAAUAAGCUCCGGCUAACUCCGU